AAUGAACGCUGGCGGCAUGCCUAACACAUGCAAGUCGAACGAAGGCUUCGGCCUUAGUGGCGCACGGGUGCGUAACGCGUGGGAAUCUGCCCCUUGGUUCGGAAUAACAGUUAGAAAUGACUGCUAAUACCGGAUGAUGACGUAAGUCCAAAGAUUUAUCGCCGAGGGAUGAGCCCGCGUAGGAUUAGCUAGUUGGUAUGGUAAGAGCGCACCAAGGCGACGAUCCUUAGCUGGUCUGAGAGGAUGAUCAGCCACACUGGGACUGAGACACGGCCCAGACUCCUACGGGAGGCAGCAGUGGGGAAUAUUGGACAAUGGGCGAAAGCCUGAUCCCGCAAUGCCGCGUGAGUGAUGAAGGCCUUAGGGUUGUAAAGCUCUUUUACCCGGGAUGAUAAUGACAGUACCGGAAGAAUAAGCUCCGGCUAACUCCGUG
rnacentral:rRNA from 1 species